rnacentral:ncRNA from 1 species
CAUUCUAUUUAUUCAAUAGCAAAUCAGUUGAAGGAGUAAAUUAAAAAAUUUUAAACUUCCAGAACUUAGAAGAUUAAUACUUAGACUUAAAUUUACAACUGAGAGUUGGUUUAGUAAGGAGAGAAAUUUAUGUGCCAGCACUAGCGGUAAAACAUAACUCCACGAUAUUCUUUCUUAGAUUUUGUUUUAAUGAUAGUAUACCGAGUAUUUACUGAGUCUAAUUUUAAAUUCUUUAAUUUUUUACCAUGAAAAAUAAGAAGUUAAACUAGGAUUAGAAACCCUAUUAUUCUUAUAACUUUUUUCUAAAGAUUAACUAUGGUUUGUGGCGGCCCCUUUUCAAAUUAGAGAUCCAUGGACCUGAUGGAUAACCCACCCCAAUCUUACUACACUUAGUUCUCUCAUCCUCCAUAUCGCCGACUGAAAAGAAAAGCAUAAAUUUUUAUUUUGUCAGUUUUAAGCUGUUAAGUCAGGUAAAGAUGAAGAUUAUGGUAUUGAAAGUUUGUGGAUCAAAAAUCUUGAUGAAUCAAUUUGUUGAUAUACAAAAUAAAUGAAUUUAAAAGUAAGGUUAUUUUAUUAAAAUAGCUUGAAUAUUGUAAAAAGGAGUGUACAUACCGCCCGUCACUUCCCCCCAAAGGAAUAAGUCGUAACAUGGUUAAUCUACUGGAAGGUGGAAUAA